rnacentral:rRNA from 1 species
CAGGCGCGCAAAUUGCCCAAUCUCGAUACGAGGAGGCAGCGACAAGAAGUAACAGUGCUGGGCUUUUUCAAGUCUAGUAAUUGGAAUGAGUACAAUUUAAACACCUUAACAAAUUCCAUUGGAGGGCAAGUCUGGUGCCAGCAGCCGCGGUAAUUCCAGCUCCAAUAGCGUAUAUUAAUGCUGUUGCAGUUGAAACGCUCGUAGUUGGACUUCUGGGUGAGUCGCUUGGUCGGCUUCGGUUGUACCUUGCGGCUUGUCCUUUCGUCCAAGGAAGGCUCACGCAAGUGAGUCUGACUUGGGCCAGUUACUUUGAGAAAAUUAGGGUGUUCAAAGCAGGCCAGUGCCUUGAAUACGUUAGCAUGGAAUAACGGAAUAGGACUUUGGUUCUAUUUUGUUGGUGUCUAGGACCGAAGUAAUGAUUAAUAGGGACAGUUGGGGGCAUUCAUAUUUAAUUGUCAGAGGUGAAAUUCUUGGAUUUAUUAAAGAUGAACUACUGCGAAAGCAUUUGCCAAGGAUGUUUUCAUUAAUCAAGAACGAAAGUUAGGGGAUCGAAGACGAUCAGAUACCGUCGUAGUCUUAACCAUAAACUAUGCCAACUAGGGAUUGGAGGAUGUGUUUCUUAACUCCUUCGGCACCUAAUGAGAAAUCAAAGUCUUUGGGUUCUGGGGGGGA